rnacentral:rRNA from 1 species
AUUGAACGCUGGCGGCAGGCCUAACACAUGCAAGUCGAGCGAGCGGCGGACGGGUGAGUAAUGUAUGGGGCUCUGCCCGAUAGAGGGGGAUAACUACUGGAAACGGUAGCUAAUACCGCAUACUAUCGGAUGAACCCAUAUGGGAUUAGCUAGUAGGUGGGGUAAAGGCUCACCUAGGCGACGAUCCCUCGCUGGUCUGAGAGGAUGAGCAGCCACACUGGGACUGAGACACGGCCCAGACUCCUACGGGAGGCAGCAGUGGGGAAUAUUGCACAAUGGGCGCAAGCCUGAUGCAGCCAUGCCGCGUGUAUGAAGAAGGCCUUCGGGUUGUAAAGUACUUUCAGCGGGGAGGCGUUACCCGCAGAAGAAGCACCGGCUAACUCCGUGCCAGCAGCCGCGGUAAUUC